UGGGGAAUAGUUCAACGGUAGAACUGCGGACUCUGACUCCGUCAAUCUAGGUUCGAAUCCUAGUUCCCCAGCCA
rnacentral:tRNA from 2 species